GGUAAAAAGCCAGAUGUAUCGGCUGCCAAACGUUUGAUGGAGUCUGAGACUUGCUUUAUAGAAGGCUCCAAUGCUUCAAGCUUGUCAUACCAACCACCACAGGUUACAUAAAUUGGAGGGCCGCAUCGUCUCAAAAAUUGGGUAAAUUGGGUUUCAAAGUUUUUCUUCUUUGAUCUUUUCCAAGAUUUUCCAAUGGUAACACAUUUACUGAGCCAACUGUUUAUGGCUUUCAGAUAAGCUUUCAGGGCACCAAUCCACUUUGUAAAACUCGAACACAGCAAGCUUAGUUCAUGUUCGAGAUGAGCGGUGACAUGCCGAUGUGAUUCUGACAGCACAGAGAUUCUCAUGAUGCCAUUCUUGUAUGCAACUGAGAUGAUUUGAA
rnacentral:lncRNA from 1 species